CUUCUAUGAUGAGAUCCACUUCUGGUCCGUGUUUCUGAAACUCAAUGAUCUCAGUGGAAGUUCUGACAAA